rnacentral:rRNA from 1 species
AACAGGAUUAGAUACCCUGGUAGUCCACGCCCUAAACGAUGUCUACUGGUUGUCGGGUCUUAAUUGACUUGGUAACGCAGCUAACGCGUGAAGUAGACCGCCUGGGGAGUACGGUCGCAAGAUUAAAACUCAAAGGAAUUGACGGGGACCCGCACAAGCGGUGGAUGAUGUGGAUUAAUUCGAUGCAACGCGAAAAACCUUACCUACCCUUGACAUGUACAGAAUCCCGAAGAGAUUUGGGAGUGUUCGAAAGAAAACUGUAACACAGGAGCUGCAUGGCUGUCGUCAGCUCGUGUCGUGAGAUGUUGGGUUAAGUCCCGCAACGAGCGCAACCCUUGUCAUUAGUUGCUACGAAAGGGCACUCUAAUGAGACUGCCGGUGACAAACCGGAGGAAGGUGGGGAUGACGUCAAGUCCUCAUGGCCCUUAUGGGUAGGGCUUCACACGUCAUACAAUGGUACAUACAGAGGGCCGCCAACCCGCGAGGGGGAGCUAAUCCCAGAAAGUGUAUCGUAGUCCGGAUUGUAGUCUGCAACUCGACUACAUGAAGUUGGAAUCGCUAGUAAUCGCGGAUCAGCAUGUCGCGGUGAAUACGUUCCCGGGUCUUGUACACACCGCCCGUCACACCAUGGGAGCGGGUUUUACCAGAAGUAGGUAGCCUAACCGUAAGGAGGGCGCUUACCACGGUAGGAUUCGUGACUGGGGUGAAGUCGUAACAAGGUAACCGUA